UAGAGGUGCUGCAUGGCUGUCGUCAGCUCGUGUCGUGAGAUGUUGGGUUAAGUCCCGCAACGAGCGCAACCCUUGUCCUCUGUUGCCAUCAGGUUAAGCUGGGCACUCUGAGGAGACUGCCGGUGAUAAACCGGAGGAAGGUGGGGAUGACGUCAAGUCAGCAUGGCCUUUAUGUCUGGGGCUACACACGUGCUACAAUGGCCGGCACAAAGCGUCGCGAGCCCGCGAGGGGGAGCUAAUCGCAGAAAGCUGGUCUCAGUUCGGAUUGCAGGCUGCAACUCGCCUGCAUGAAGUUGGAAUCGCUAGUAAUCGCGGAUCAGCAUGCCGCGGUCGAAUACGUUCCCGGGCCUUGUACACACCGCCCGUCACAUCACGAAAGCCGGCUGUACUAGAAGUCGCCAGACCAACCCGCAAGGGAGGGAGGCGCCUAAGGUAUGAUCGGUGAUUGGGGUGAAGUCGUAACAAGGUAAGCGUAGUGCU
rnacentral:rRNA from 1 species